rnacentral:rRNA from 1 species
UUACACAUGCAAGUCGAACGGUAACAGGUCUUCGGAUGCUGACGAGUGGCGAACGGGUGAGUAAUACAUCGGAACGUGCCCGAUCGUGGGGGAUAACGAGGCGAAAGCUUUGCUAAUACCGCAUACGAUCUACGGAUGAAAGCGGGGGAUCUUCGGACCUCGCGCGGACGGAGCGGCCGAUGGCAGAUUAGGUAGUUGGUGGGGUAAAGGCCUACCAAGCCUGCGAUCUGUAGCUGGUCUGAGAGGAUGAUCAGCCACACUGGGACUGAGACACGGCCCAGACUCCUACGGGAGGCAGCAGUGGGGAAUUUUGGACAAUGGGGGCAUCCCCCAUCGAGCCCCGCGC